CUCUCUCUCUCUCUCUCUCAUCGCCUCCCUCCUCUCUAUUUCUCUCUGUCUCUGACCAUGGGGAUCUUCCGUCUUUUCAAAUUCGCCGGCUCCCUCUUCGGCGGCCAUCCCAAACCGCCGGCGACAUUUCCGAAAGCAGUUUUCAAACCCUCGUAUGAUGUUCCUCGCCGUACCAUCGUCAUCGAAAUCAACCCUAUGUACAGAUCCGCCGAUGUCUCUUUCGUCAAACGAGAUUGCCUCAAGUUGUUCGGCAUUGACGAGUGUGGAGAAGUGAACAAGAAGGUUGAUGAGAAGCAGGAGGAGGAAGACAAAGCUGGAAAAUGAGUGCGUACGGGUAUGGGUUUUGGGGAUGAUUUUGGGUAUUAAUCAACUAAUGUAGCCCAGUUUAUGCUUAAGUAAUGGAUCAUAUAUGGCCUAGUAUGUUUGUUCUAAACUAUUAUAUAUCUAAUCUUUCUGGGGUUUUGAUGAAUGGAAGUUUUCGUUGUGUUGGAUAGAUUUGUUUGCUCCAUAUUCUUGUUUACUCGGAAACAGUUCCUGGU